rnacentral:rRNA from 1 species
CCUGGCUCAGAACGAACGCUGGCGGCAGGCUUAAUACAUGCAAGUCGAACGGCUGUAGCAAUACAGCAGUGGCAGACGGGUGAGUAACACGUGGGAACCUACCUAGGGGUACGGAAUAACUCAGGGAAACUUGUGCUAAUACCGUAUACGACCUCAGGGUGAAAGAUUUAUCGCCCCUAGAUGGGCCCGCGUUGGAUUAGCUAGUUGGUGAGGUAAAAGCUCACCAAGGCGACGAUCCAUAGCUGGUCUGAGAGGAUGAUCAGCCACACUGGGACUGAGACACGGCCCAGACUCCUACGGGAGGCAGCAGUAGGGAAUCUUGGACAAUGGGCGAAAGCCUGAUCCAGCCAUGCCGCGUGUGUGAUGAAGGCCUUAGGGUUGUAAAGCACUUUCGCCAGGGAAGAUAAUGACGGUACCUGGAUAAGAAGCCCCGGCUAACUUCGUGCCAGCAGCCGCGGUAAUACGAAGGGGGCUAGCGUUGUUCGGAAUUACUGGGCGUAAAGCGCACGUAGGCGGUUUUCCAAGUUGGAGGUGAAAUCCCCGGGCUU